rnacentral:ribozyme from 14 species
AUCUCAAUAUGAGCAGAAGAAGAUGGACGAAUAGCUUCUUUCCCUUUCUUUUUUUCUUUUUCCUUAUCCUGUUUGUCUUUUUUUUCUUUGUCUUCUUUCUUGACUUGUUGUUGCUGUUGCUGUACACCACAAAAGAACACUUUGAAGGAUGAUAAAAAAGAGAAAGGA